GAUGAACGCUGGCGGCGUGCCUAAUACAUGCAAGUCGAGCGAACAGAUAAGGAGCUUGCUCCUUUGACGUUAGCGGCGGACGGGUGAGUAACACGUGGGUAACCUACCUAUAAGACUGGGAUAACUUCGGGAAACCGGAGCUAAUGCCGGAUAACAUUUGGAACCGCAUGGUUCUAAAGUGAAAGAUGGUUUUGCUAUCACUUAUAGAUGGACCCGCGCCGUAUUAGCUAGUUGGUAAGGUAACGGCUUACCAAGGCGACGAUACGUAGCCGACCUGAGAGGGUGAUCGGCCACACUGGAACUGAGACACGGUCCAGACUCUUACGGGAGGCAGCAGUAGGGAAUCUUCCGCAAUAGGCGAAAGCCUGACGGAGCAACGCCGCGUGAGUGAUGAAGGGUUUCGGCUCGUAAAACUCUGUUAUUAGGGAAGAACAAAUGUGUAAGUAACUGUGCACGUCUUGACGGUACCUAAUCAGAAAGCCACGGCUAACUACGUG
rnacentral:rRNA from 1 species